GAAGUUAUUACUGCGAAAUAAAAAAUAAUAAAAUAAAUCUCUGUAAUUAUUAUGAAAUCAGAUAAAAAGAUAAAUUAGCCAUCGCGAAUCAGACUGUGAAUAAUUAUAACGUAAAUAUUGAAUAUCUAUGAUGGCGGUUGCUUACUGUUUAAUACUAGACACACCAUCAAUUACAGUCGACAAACCUUUUAUCUGCGCAAUAGUGGCGACUGAUACGGGAAUGCAACUUUUCAAUGCACGCAUUAAUGACCCGACGUUAAUUUAAAUUUUAUAAUGUCAUGUUGUAAUUAAGACUAAUAAUAUCUGGCUAAUAGUGAGUCU